rnacentral:misc_RNA from 1 species
GAUUCGUUCACAACCCUACUUGCAUGAGACAUGGUUUCUACAUAACAUAUAAGAUAUUAUGUGAGAUAAGUAGCAUUAAAUUUAGGUAUAGAAUAGUGGUGUUUGCAUUGGAAUAGUAGUGUCUAGUACUAGUUUUUUGAUGAUGUAGAGUUUAUGGAAACUAUGUCUAUUGUCUUGGGUUGGGAAUGGCC